rnacentral:rRNA from 1 species
GUGUCAGCAGCCGCGGUAUACGAAUGGGGCAAGCGUUGUUCGGAUUUACUGGGCGUAAAGCGGGCGUAGGCGGCCGGCUAAGUCGGAUGUGAAAUCCCGGGGCUCAACUCCGGAACUGCAUUCGAUACUGGUCGGCUAGAGUUCGAGAGGGGGAUGCGGAGUUCCGCGUGUAGCAGUGAAAUGCGUAGAUAUGCGGAGGAACACCUGAGGCGAAGGCGGCAUCCUGGAUCGACACUGACGCUGAGGCCCGAAAGCGUGGGGAGCAAACAGGAUUAGAAACCCCGGUAGUCCACGCCGUAAACGAUGUCGACCAGGUGUUGGGGCGAAAGGCUUCAGCGCCGAAGCUAACGCGAUAAGUCGACCGCCUGGGGAGUACGGCCGCAAGGCUAAAACUCAAAUGAAUUGACGGGG